GCAUUAUCAUGCGCACCAGGACCACAUUUAUAUGCACUCCGAGGGACUCAUCAUGGUAAAUUUCAUUCACCUAGCAACAAAAAAAGAUAAUUGCUAAAAGAAAGGAAACACCGAGGAUUUCAUGAGAUGUACAUAUAAGCUGUGUAAUCACCACAAAUAGUUACAGACUAAAUCAUCCUUGAUUCCUUCUUCUUCAAGUAUUAGAGUCAUUCUACUACCAAGUACCGCAGACAUCUGUCAAACCUGUCCACCUCCACACCAAGCAGCUUAGUAAACCAACCAGCUCAUGCAGACUGUUGCAAUAACUUGUGAAAACUUUUGCAAAUAUUUUGUAUUUAGGUGAUUUGGGCACAUUUGAGUAGCUCUCCAGAAAGGAAGAUUGUAAGGGUUGAUGGUUGUUUUCAAUAAACAUGAGUCUUUCCUUU
ensembl:lncRNA novel transcript